rnacentral:rRNA from 1 species
GACGAACGCUGGCGGCGUGCCUAAUACAUGCAAGUCGAACGCAGUGGGGACGGGUGAGUAACACGUGGGUAACCUCCCAUCAGAGGGGAUAACACUUGGAAACAGGUGCUAAACCGAUACUGAUGGAUGGACCCGCGGUGCAUUAGCUAGUUGGUGAGGUAACGGCUCACCAAGGCCACGAUGCAUAGCCGAGCGGAGAGGGUGAGGGGCAAAACGGGGACUGAGAAAAGGAGCAGACUCCUAGGGGAGGCAGAAGUAGGGAAUAGUCGGCAAUGGACGAAAGUCGGACAGAGCAACGGCGCGUGAGUGAAGAAGGUUGAGGGAGCGGAAAACACUGGAGUUAGAGAAGCGGUAUCUAACCAGAAAGCCACGGCUAACUACGGGCCAGCAGCCGCGGUAAUAC